AUACGGAAGGUCCGGGCGUUAUCCGGAUUUAUUGGGUUUAAAGGGAGCGCAGGCGGAGAUGCAAGCGUGACGUCAAAUUUCGGGGCUCAACCCCGUCUCGCGUCGCGAACUGCGUCCCUUGGUUGCGGGAAGGGGAGGCGGAACUCGUGGUGUAGCGAUGAAAUGCAUAGAUAUCACGAAGAACUCCGAUCGCGAAGGCAGCCUUCCGGCCCGUCAACGACGCUCAUGCUCGAAGGUGCGGGUAUCAAACAGGAUUAGAUACCCUGGUAGUCCGCACAGUAAACGAUGGACACCCGCGGUUUGGCCUGUAUGGCUGAGCCGCCAAGCGAAAGCGUUAAGUGUCCCACCUGGGGAGUACGCCGGCAACGGUGAAACUUAAAUGAAUUGGCGGGG
rnacentral:rRNA from 1 species